AAAUUGAAGAGUUUGAUCAUGGCUCAGAUUGAACGCUGGCGGCAGGCCUAACACAUGCAAGUCGAGCGGAAACGAGUUGUCUGAACCUUCGGGGAACGAUAACGGCGUCGAGCGGCGGACGGGUGAGUAAUGCCUAGGAAAUUGCCCUGAUGUGGGGGAUAACCAUUGGAAACGAUGGCUAAUACCGCAUGAUGCCUACGGGCCAA
rnacentral:rRNA from 1 species